rnacentral:rRNA from 1 species
UACGGAGGGGGCUAGCGUUGUUCGGAAUUACGGGGCGUAAAGCGCACGUAGGCGGCUUUGUAAGUUAGAGGUGAAAGCCCGGGGCUCAACCCCGGAAUUGCCUUUAAGACUGCAUCGCUAGAAUUGUGGAGAGGUAAGUGGAAUUCCGAGUGUAGAGGUGAAAUUCGUAGAUAUUCGGAAGAACACCAGUGGCGAAGGCGACUUACUGGACACAUAUUGACGCUGAGGUGCGAAAGCGUGGGGAGCAAACAGG